rnacentral:rRNA from 1 species
GAUGAACGCUAGCGGCGUGCCUAAUACAUGCAAGUCGAGCGGAGCGGGGAAGGGUGAGUAACACGUGGAUAACCUCCUAUAAUACUGGGAUAAAUUAGGGAAACCGGAGCUAAAACGGAUACUUAUAGAUGGUUCGGUGCUGCAUUAGCUAGUUGGUAAGGUAACGGCUUACCAAGGCAACGAUGCAUAGCCGACCUGAGAGGGGGAUCAGCCACACUAGAACUGAGACACGGACCAGAAGCCAACGGGAGGCAACGGGAGGGAAUCUUCCGGAAUGGGCGAAAGCCUGACGUAGCAACGCCGCGUGAAUUAUGAAGGGCUUCGGAUCGUAAAACUCUGGUAUUAGGGAAGCGUUACCUAAUCAGAAAGCCACGGCUAACUACGUGCCAGCAGCCGCGGUAAUGC